UCUCCCAAUGGCUUAGUCAAUAUAUAUGCUAGAUUGUCAUCAAUAUGAAUUUUCUGCAAUAAAAUUAUGUAUCUUCUAUCAUACCACAAACAAAGUGAUAUUCAAUAUCAAUACGUUUAAUUUUGUCAUUAAAAGCUGGAUUCGUCGCAAAAAAAAAAAAAAAUUAGGGACGCUGGGAAAGGAACAAAACCAAACUAUUGUUCUGCAACACAUGGCACAACUUAUCAUUAUAUAUGAUAUUAGGUUGAUGCGCUUUGUGGCGUGUGGGUGGUCCUGGGAUCAACAUCAAAGAAACAGCCGUCAUAGGGAUGCACACAUGAAACAUGGAUGCGGGUGUCUGACAUUUGGUGGACAUGGACAAACAUGUUGAGCCUUCUAAAUCUGCUACGGAGUGUCUAAUGGCAUCUCCCAUUUUGGACAUAUUUCGGUUUUAUGGCUUUUU